UACGUAGGGUGCGAGCGUUAAUCGGAAUUACUGGGCGUAAAGCGUGCGCAGGCGGUUUUGUAAGCCAGAUGUGAAAUCCCCGGGCUUAACCUGGGAACUGCAUUUGUGACUGCAUCGCUGGAGUGCGGCAGAGGGGGGAUGGAAUUCCGCGUGUAGCAGUGAAAUGCGUAGAUAUGCGGAGGAACACCGAUGGCGAAGGCAAUCCCCCUGGGCCUGCACUGACGCUCAUGCACGAAAGCGUGGGGAGCAAACAGG
rnacentral:rRNA from 1 species